GAUGAACGCUGGCGGCGUGCUUAACACAUGCAAGUCGAGCGAGAAGUUUUGGAACGAGCCUUCGGGUGAGUGAAGAGAUGGAAAGCGGCGGACGGGUGAGUAACGCGUGGGCAACCUGCCCCAUACAGGAGGAUAGCCACUGGAAACGGUGAUUAAUACUCCAUAAGACCACAGCGCUGCAUAGCGCAGAGGUAAAAACUCCGGUGGUAUGGGAUGGGCCCGCGUCUGAUUAGCUAGUUGGUGAGGUAAUGGCUCCCCAAGGCGACGAUCAGUAGCCGACCUGAGAGGGUGAUCGGCCACACUGGAACUGAGACACGGUCCAGACUCCUACGGGAGGCAGCAGUGGGGAAUAUUGCACAAUGGGGGAAACCCUGAUGCAGCAACGCCGCGUGAACGACGAAGGUCUUCGGAUUGUAAAGUUCUUUUCUUGGGGAAGAAUAACUGACGGUACCCAAGGAAUCAGCCCCGGCUAACUACG
rnacentral:rRNA from 1 species